AGGGUGAGUCCAGCUAACCGAAGGUCUUCAAGGGGAGGAGCUGAGGACCCAGCAUCUCCUGGCAGUGUACCUGGAUGAAGUCCGAGGGGAGUGCUCCCCGAAGGACACCAGCCCGAUGGAGAUGGUCUGCAGGAAUGGCCGGAUGGCAGGCGUGAACUGUGGAGAGACGCGGCUGCGUCACCCACCGCUCAAGAGAGGGAUGGGGACAGGGCAGGAGCGAGGCACAGGGAUGUGCGGGGAAGGCACAUUCAUUCAGUAAACGUUUCAUGAGCUCCUA